rnacentral:rRNA from 1 species
GAAGGUCCGGGCGUUAUCCGGAUUUAUUGGGCGUAAAGCGCUCGUAGGUGGUAUGUCAAGUCAAGGGUGAAAUCCCCGCGCUCAACGUGGGAACUGCCUUUGAAACUGGCACACUGGAGUGUGUGAGAGGAUAGUGGAAUUCCAGGUGUAGGAGUGAAAUCCGUAGAUAUCUGGAGGAACAUCAGUGGCGAAGGCGACUAUCUGGCACAUAACUGACACUGAGGAGCGAAAGCGUGGGUAGC